rnacentral:rRNA from 1 species
GAUGAACGCUGGCGGCGUGCUUAACACAUGCAAGUCGAACGAGAAAUGAUAUUACGAUCUCUUCGGAGUGACGGUUUUAUUUCGAGUGGCGGACGGGUGAGUAACGCGUGAGCAACCUGCCCUAUACCGGGGGAUACCAGUUGGAAACGACUGUUAAUACCGCAUAAGCGCACGAUAAGACAUCUUGUUGUGUGAAAAACUCCGGUGGUAUAGGAUGGGCUCGCGUAUGAUUAGCCAGUUGGCGGGGUAAAGGCCCACCAAAGCGACGAUCAUUAGCCGACCUGAGAGGGCGACCGGCCACAUUGGGACUGAGACACGGCCCAAACUCCUACGGGAGGCAGCAGUGGGGAAUAUUGCACAAUGGGCGAAAGCCUGAUGCAGCGACGCCGCGUGAGUGAGGAAGUAUUUCGGUAUGUAAAGCUCUAUCAGCAGGGAAGAAAGAAAUGACGUACC